UCGCAGUUUUAGGAGUCGGUGAUUAGGCUGGUUUUUUGGGUUACUUUUUCGCUCCGAUUCCUGUAUUUCAUAGUGUUUGGCUUUUGAAUAUUUUAGUUCUUUCAGAGAAAUAUUACUUGCCUUACAGAUUUUGUAAAAAUGUUUCAAUUUUUAUAAGCCGAACGUUAGAGUCCUAAAACAAUACAUCAGUACUACUAUUAUUGUAAACAAACAAACGGAGCACCACUUGGGCUCUCCACUUGGCUCUGUUCCAAGGCCUUUUUCGAGUUCAUCUGGAGGUUUUCGUACUCGUGUACUCGUGAGAUCAAUACUGAAGAGUACGCCGAGCAGUAUCAAGCCAGAAAAUGUUUGCUGAUGAUGAUUGCAUAUUGUCUAUUGAUGUAUUGGGAUGAAUAAUUAAUUAUAACUUAUAACAGCAAGAUUAUAACUAUGAAGCGCUGACUAUGAAGUGAAAAAAUCUAGAAUGAGCGAACUCAGGCAGCUUUACUUUGCUAUGCAGAUGGUAAUGUGCAUUACUCAAGUGUCUGGCAAAUGAAACUUUGCAUUUCUUGAAAAAGGAUUUCAGUAAAAUUGUGAAUGUGACAAGCCAUGCAACGAUAUGAUCAUAUAAUACGUGUUAAUAGUCAUUCGUGACAAUGAUCUUUGGUCCAAUAUACAAUAGCAAAGCUC